rnacentral:rRNA from 1 species
UACGGGGGGGGCAAGCGUUGUUCGGAAUUACUGGGCGUAAAGGGUUCGUAGGUGGCUUGCUAAGUCAGACGUGAAAUCCCUCAGCUUAACUGGGGAACUGCGUCUGAUACUGGAUGGCUUGAGUUUGGGAGAGGGAUGCGGAAUUCCAGGUGUAGCGGUGAAAUGCGUAGAUAUCUGGAGGAACACCGGUGGCGAAGGCGGGUCUCUGGGCAGUAACUGACGCUGAGGAGCGAAAGCGUGGGGAGCGAACAGG